CCACAAUUGCGAAAAAUCCCCUGCAGUUCAAACUGCUCAGAAUCUGCACUGCGUACCGGUACACGGGCUCAUGUACCGGUACACCUCCCACGAAAAUGCCAAACCCCAGCCUCGGGUUUGCUGGAAAACUGCCUGUGUACCGGUACACCAUCCCGUACCGGUACAACCAUCAACCCUGUACCGGUACAGCCAUCAAUCCUGUACCGGUACAUGGCCUAAUGAAGGCUACCCGAGA
rnacentral:lncRNA from 1 species